rnacentral:rRNA from 1 species
CCUACGGGGGGCUGCAGUGGGGAAUAUUGCACAAUGGGCGCAAGCCUGAUGCAGCCAUGCCGCGUGUGUGAAGAGGGCCUUCGGGUUGUAAAGCACUUUCAGCGGGGAGGAAGGCGUUAAGGUUAAUAACCUUGUCGAUUGACGUUACCCGCAGAAGAAGCACCGGCUAACUCCGUGCCAGCAGCCGCGGUAAUACGGAGGGUGCAAGCGUUAAUCGGAAUUACCGGGCGUAAAGCGCACGCAGGCGGUCUGUCAAGUCGGAUGUGAAAUCCCCGGGCUCAACCUGGGAACUGCAUUCGAAACUGGCAGGCUAGAGUCUUGUAGAGGGGGGUAGAAUUCCAGGUGUAGCGGUGAAAUGCGUAGAGAUCUGGAGGAAUACCGGUGGCGAAGGCGGCCCCCUGGACAAAGACUGACGCUCAGGUGCGAAAGCGUGGGGAGCAAACAGGAUUAGAUACCCGAGUAGUC